rnacentral:tRNA from 1 species
UCCUGGCAGCUCAGCAGGUAAAGAACUGCCUGCAAUGCAGGAGACCCUGGUUCAAUUCCUGGGUCAGGAA